CGGACGGGUGAGUAAUGUCUGGGAAACUGCCUGAUGGCGGGGGAUAACUACUGGAAACGGUAGCUAAUACCGCAUAACGUCGCAAGACCAAAGAGGGGGACCUUAGGGCCUCUUGCCAUCGGAUGUGCCCAGAUGGGAUUAGCUAGUAGGUGGGGUAACGGCUCACCUAGGCGACGAUCCCUAGCUGGUCUGAGAGGAUGAUCAGCCACACUGGGACUGAGACACGGCCCAG
rnacentral:rRNA from 1 species